rnacentral:rRNA from 1 species
CCUACGGGCGGCAGCAGUGAGGAAUAAUGGUCAAUGGACGAGAGACUGAACCAGCCAAGUAGCGUGAAGGAUGACGGCCCUAUGGGUUGUAAACUGCUUUUAUAGGGGAAUAAAACGGGCCACGUGUGGGGUUUUGUAGGUACCGUAUGAAUAAGGACCGGCUAACUCCGUGCCAGCAGCCGCGGUAAUACGGAGGGUCCGAGCGUUAUCCGGAUUGAUUGGGUUUAAAGGGAGCGUAGGCGGCUUGUUAAGGCUGGUGUGAAAGGCUGUGGCUCCACCCUGACAUUGCCGUUGUAACUGGCUGUCUUGAGUACAGUAGACGUGUGCGGCAUUCGUGGUGUAGCGG